GACGUGGUGGCUCGACUUCCCCGAGCAAUGGACCCCCAAGUCACCGUGGGCGGACCGGCGCGUCCGGCUGGCCGCGGCCAUGGCCAUGGACAAGCAGGGCAUCAAUCAGGCCGAGCGGCUCGGCUAUUCGCGCCUGACGGGCUCCAUCGUCCCGCGCAUCAUGGACUUCGCGCUCCCGAUCGAGCCGCAUCCGUAUGAUCCGACUCACGCGAAGCGGCUGCUGACCGAGG
rnacentral:misc_RNA from 1 species